rnacentral:rRNA from 1 species
AGUCGAGCGGAUGAGUGGAGCUUGCUCCAUGAUUCAGCGGCGGACGGGUGAGUAAUGCCUAGGAAUCUGCCUGGUAGUGGGGGAUAACGUUCCGAAAGGAACGCUAAUACCGCAUACGUCCUACGGGAGAAAGCAGGGGACCUUCGGGCCUUGCGCUAUCGGAUGAGCCUAGGUCGGAUUAGCUAGUUGGUGAGGUAAUGGCUCACCAAGGCGACGAUCCGUAACUGGUCUGAGAGGAUGAUCAGUCACACUGGAACUGAGACACGGUCCAGACUCCUACGGGAGGCAGCAGUGGGGAAUAUUGGACAAUGGGCGAAAGCCUGAUCCAGCCAUGCCGCGUGUGUGAAGAAGGUCUUCGGAUUGUAAAGCACUUUAAGUUGGGAGGAAGGGUUGUACGUUAAUACCGUGCAAUUUUGACGUUACCGACAGAAUAAGCACCGGCUAACUUCGUGCCAGCAGCCGCGGUAAUACGAAGGGUGCAAGCGUUAAUCGGAAUUACUGGGCGUAAAGCGCGCGUAGGUGGUUCGUUAAGUUGGAUGUGAAAGCCCCGGGCUCAACCUGGGAACUGCAUCCAAAACUGGCGAGCUAGAGUACGGUAGAGGGUGGUGGAAUUUCCUGUGUAGCGGUGAAAUGCGUAGAUAUAGGAAGGAACACCAGUGGCGAAGGCGACCACCUGGACUGAUACUGACACUGAGGUGCGAAAGCGUGGGGAGCAAACAGGAUUAGAUACCCUGGUAGUCCACGCCGUAAACGAUGUCAACUAGCC